rnacentral:rRNA from 1 species
CCUACGGGGGGCUGCAGUGGGGAAUAUUGCACAAUGGGCGCAAGCCUGAUGCAGCCAUGCCGCGUGUGUGAAGAAGGCCUUCGGGUUGUAAAGCACUUUCAGCGGGGAGGAAGGCGUUAAGGUUAAUAACCUUGGCGAUUGACGUUACCCGCAGAAGAAGCACCGGCUAACUCCGUGCCAGCAGCCGCGGUAAUACGGAGGGUGCAAGCGUUAAUCGGAAUUACUGGGCGUAAAGCGCACGCAGGCGGUCUGUCAAGUCGGAUGUGAAAUCCCCGGGCUCAACCUGGGAACUGCAUUCGAAACUGGCAGGCUAGAGUCUUGUAGUGGGGGGUAGAAUUCCAGGUGUAGCGGUGAAAUGCGUAGAGAUCUGGAGGAAUACCGGUGGCGAAGGCGGCCCCCUGGACAAAGACUGACGCUCAGGUGCGAAAGCGUGGGGAGCAAACAGGAUUAGAUACCCCUGUAGUC